rnacentral:rRNA from 1 species
UACGUAGGGGGGCUAGCGUUGUCCGGAAUCAUUGGGCGUAAAGAGCGUGUAGGCGGCCAGAUAAGUCCGCUGUGAAAUCUCGAGGCUCAACUUCGAGCUGUCGGUGGAAACUGUCUGGCUAGAGUCCGGAAGAGGAGAAUGGAAUUCCUGGUGUAGCGGUGAAAUGCGCAGAUAUCAGGAAGAACACCCGUGGCGAAGGCGGUUCUCUGGGACGGUACUGACGCUGAGACGCGAAAGCGUGGGGAGCGAACAGG